GAUGAACGCUGGCGGCGUGCCUAAUACAUGCAAGUCGAGCGAACAGAUAAGGAGCUUGCUCCUUUGACGUUAGCGGCGGACGGGUGAGUAACACGUGGGUAACCUACCUAUAAGACUGGGAUAACUUCGGGAAACCGGAGCCAAUACCGGAUAAUAUUUCGAACCGCAUGGUUCGAUAGUGGAAGAUGGUUUUGCUAUCACUUAUAGAUGGACCCGCGCCGUAUUAGCUAGUUGGUAAGGUAACGGCUUACCAAGGCGACGAUACGUAGCCGACCUGAGAGGGUGAUCGGCCACACUGGAACUGAGACACGGUCCAGACUCCUACGGGAGGCAGCAGUAGGGAAUCUUCCGCAGUGGGCGAAAGCCUGACGGAGCAACGCCGCGUGAGUGAUGAAGGUCUUCGGAUCGUAAAACUCUGUUAUUAGGGAAGAACAUACGUGUAAGUAACUGUGCACGUCUUGGCGGUACCUAAUCAGAAAGCCACGGCUAACUACGUG
rnacentral:rRNA from 1 species